AUAUCAAUAAGCGGAGGAAAAGAAACUAACAAGGAUUCCCUCAGUAACGGCGAGUGAAGCGGGAAGAGCUCAAAUUUAAAAUCUGGCUUACUUGUAAGUCCGAGUUGUAGUCUGAAGAAACGUUUUCCAUAAGCACUGAGGCACAAGUCCCUUGGAACAGGGCAUCAUAGAGGGUGAGAAUCCCGUCCAUGGUCUCAAGUUGCUUAUUUUGUGAUACGUUUUCAAAGAGUCAGGUUGUUUGGGAAUGCAGCCUAAAAUGGGUGGUAAAUUUCAUCUAAAGCUAAAUAUUGGCGAGAGACCGAUAGCGCACAAGUA
rnacentral:rRNA from 1 species